rnacentral:rRNA from 1 species
UACAGAGGGUGGAAGCGUUAAUCGGAAUUACUGGGCGUAAAGCGUGCGUAGUCGGUUAUCUAAGUCGGAUGUGAAAUCCCCGGGCUCAACCUGGGAAUUGCAUUCGAUACUGGAUAGCUAGAGUUCGGCAGAGGGAAGUGGAAUUUCCGGUGUAGCGGUGAAAUGCGUAGAUAUCGGAAGGAACAUCAGUGGCGAAAGCGGCAUCCUGGACCGAUACUGACGCUGAGGAGCGAAAGCCAGGGGAGCAAACGGG